CUGGAAACGGAGCAGGGCAGCGUCAUGACUGGUGAAGAGCUCGAGGAUGGCGCGUUG
rnacentral:SRP_RNA from 14 species